rnacentral:rRNA from 1 species
AAACGUAUGUUAUAGCUUGCAAAGGAUCCCUUGGUGUUUAGAAGCGAUGAAGGACGCACGUACCAGCGAAAUGCUUCGGGGAGUUGGACAGACGCGUAGAUCCGGAGGUCUCCGAAUAAGGAAACUUAAUAAUUUUUUUCUGAAUAUAUAGGUAAAAAAAGCAAACCUGAGGAACUGAAACAUCUUAGUACUUGGAGGAAAAUAAAGUAAAAACGAUUCCCAUAGUAGUGGCGAACGAACAGGGAUUAGCCCAAACUGUGCAAUAGAUUGUGCUGCAUAGCACGCAAAUGCAAUUUAUACGCCAGACUUUGAGGGAUUAUUAAAAAAAAAUAUUUAUAAAGCUAAGCUAAACUGAUUGAAUUCAGUGCCAAAGAAAGUAAUAGCCUUGUAGCUGAAAGCUAAAAAAAUAUGUAGUAAUCCCAAGUAGCAUGAAGCACGUGUAAUUUCGUGUGAAUCUGCGAGGACCACCUCGUAAGGCUAAAUAUUACUAAGCAUCCGAUAGUGAACUAGUACCGUGAGGGAAAGGUGAAAAGAACCCCGGGAGGGGAGUGAAAAGAACGUGAAAUUGCAAGCUUACAAACAGAGGAUGAACGACUAAGCGUUUUACCUCGUGCCUGUUGAAGAAUGUUCCAGCGAGUUAUAGGUAUUGGCCUGGUUAAAUCAAAUAUGAUGGAGCCAUAGCGAAAGCGAGUUUGAAUAGAGCUGAUAGUCAAUAUUUAUAGACCCGAACCCGCUUGAUCUAACCAUGUUCAGAAUGAAACUUAGGUAACACUAGGUGGAGGUUCGAACCGACUAAUGUUGAAAAAUUAGCGGAUGAAAUGUGGUUAGGGGUGAAAUGCCAAUCGAAAGCGGAGCUAGCUGGUUCUCCCCGAAAUGUAUUUAGGUGCAGCGGUUAAAGUUAUAGCGUAGGGGUAAAGCACUGUUUCACUGCGGGCGGGUAACACUGUACCAAAGCGAGGCAAACUCUGAAUACUACGCGCAUAUUUAACUAGUAAGACUAUGAGGGAUAAGCUUCAUUGUCAAGAGGGAAAGAGCCCAGAUCACCGAUUAAGGCCCCUAAAUAAUUUCUAAGUGAUAAAGGAGGUGAAAAGGCUUAGACAACCAGGAGGUUCGCUUAGAAGCAGCAAUCCUUUAAAAAGUGCGUAAUAGCUUACUGGUCUAGCAAUUUUGCGCCGAAAAUUUACGGGACUAAGAAAUUUGCCGAAAUCGUGAGAUAUAAUAUAUCGGUAGGGGAGCGUUCCAUAUUAGAGUGAAGUAUUAGCGUAAGCGAAUAUAGACGAGAUGGAAGUGAGAAUGCUGGAUUGAGUAACGAAAACAUUGGUAAGAAUCCAAUGCCCCGAAAUUCUAAGGUUUCCUUCGGAAGGUUCGUCCACGAAGGGUUAGUCAGGGCCUAAGGCGAGGCUGAUAAGCGUAGUCGAUGGACAAUCUUUAAAUUAAUAAGUGCUUAAUUGUUUUUAGCAACGAGGGACGAAGAAGGCUAAAUGGGCCAGAUAGUGGUUACUGGUACACGAGCGCAAGUCUAUGAUGAGUGGUUAAAACGCUUAGAGAUAAGUGCCGGGUCAAAGAUUACGAAAUCAAAGCCAUGUAUGUCAUACUUCCAAGAAAAGCUUGAUAUGCUUGUAAAAACAAAUUAACCUGUACCAUAAACCGACACAGGUGGAAAGGUAGAAUAUACCAAGGGGCGCGAGAGAACUCUCCUUAAGGAACUCGGCAAAUUGGCUCCGUAACUUUGGAAGAAGGAGUGCCCAUUUUAUGGGUUGCAAUAAAAUGUUCCAAGCAACUGUUUAUCAAAAACACAGGUCUCCGCUAAGUUGCAAAACGACGUAUGGGGGCUGACGCCUGCCCAGUGCCGGAAGGUUAAAGAAGUUGGUCAAAAAGCUAGCAACUGAAGCCCCGGUGAACGGCGGCCAUAACUAUAAUGGUCCUAAGGUAGCGAAAUUCCUUGUCGGGUAAGUUCCGACCCGCACGAAUGGCGUAAUGACUUGGGCACUGUCUCGACAACAAAUCCGGCGAAAUUGUAGUGCAAGUGAAGAUGCUUGCUACCCGCGAUUGGACGGAAAGACCCCGUAGAGCUUUACUGUAGCUUAGCAUUGAGUUUCGAUAUUGUCUGUACAGGAUAGGUGGGAGACUGAGAAACAAGGGCGUCAGCCUUUGUGGAGUCAUCCUUGGGAUACCACCCUGACAGUAUUGGGAUUCUAACCGGCGGCCAUGAAUCUGGUCACGGGACAUUGUUAGGUGGGCAGUUUGACUGGGGCGGUCGCCUCCUAAAAAGUAACGGAGGCGCCCAAAGGUUCCCUCAGAACGGUCGGAAAUCGUUCGUAGAGUGCAAAGGCAGAAGGGAGCCUGACUGCGACACUUACAAGUGGAGCAGGGACGAAAGUCGGGCUUAGUGAUCCGGUGGUACCUCGUGGGAGGGCCAUCGCUCAACGGAUAAAAGCUACCUCGGGGAUAACAGGCUGAUCUCCCCCAAGAGUCCACAUCGACGGGGAGGUUUGGCACCUCGAUGUCGGCUCAUCGCAUCCUGGGGCUGGAGCAGGUCCCAAGGGUUCGGCUGUUCGCCGAUUAAAGCGGUACGUGAGCUGGGUUCAGAACGUCGUGAGACAGUUCGGUCCAUAUCCGGCGUGAGCGUAAGAGUAUUGAGAGUGGCCUUUCUCUAGUACGAGAGGAUCGAGAAAGAUAUACCUCUGGUAUACCAGUUAUUCCGCCAGGAGUAAACGCUGGGUAGCUACGUAUAGUUAGGAUAACCGCUGAAAGCAUCUAAGUGGGAAGCCGUCCUCAAGAUGAGUACUCUAAGGCCGCGGAAAGACUAACCGCUUAAUAGGAAUUAGGUGUACAGCUAGCAAUAGUUUCAGCCGAGAUUUACUAAUGGCCAUAAUGCGUUUUUUU